rnacentral:rRNA from 1 species
GAUUUCUGGUUUGAUGUACCUGUCCCGCCACGGUAACGUGUGUGAGUGACGGAGUAUGUCUGCCAUCCUUCUAGAGAAUGCAAGCUGGCCUUUACUGGUUUGGUUUGUAUCAUCUAGAUCUUUUACUUUGAAAAAAUUAGAGUGUUUAAAGCAGGCUUGCGCUAUGAAUACAUUAGCAUGGAAUAAUAAUUUAGGACUUUGGUCUUAUUUUGUUGGUUUCUAGGACUAAAGUAAUGAUUGAUAGGGACAGUUGGGGGUGCUAGUAUUCAGCGGCCAGAGGUGAAAUUCUUGGAUUCGCUGAAGACUAACUUAUGCGAAAGCAUU